UACGGAGGGUGCAAACGUUGCUCGGAAUCAUUGGGCGUAAAGCGCACGUAGGCGGCCCAGCAAGUCGGGUGUGAAAGCCCUCGGCUUAACCGAGGAAGUGCAUUCGAAACUACUGAGCUUGAAUACUGGAGAGGAUCGCGGAAUUCCCGGUGUAGAGGUGAAAUUCGUAGAUAUCGGGAGGAACACCAGUGGCGAAGGCGGCGAUCUGGACCACUACUGACGCUGAGGAACGAAAGCUAGGGGAGCAAACAGG
rnacentral:rRNA from 1 species